rnacentral:tmRNA from 1 species
UCCCUUCAAUUCGGCGCGCAACACCCCUAUAUUGACGGUGUCGUCCUCGUGGCGACUAUGGCGAUAAACGGCUGUCGUAAUAAACCCAUCGGACCCGGGGGCGGUACCCGGCGCCUCCACCUCAAGGCCGCAUGCGGCCUUGAGGCGGGGGCGAAACAGGAUCGACGAGGGCGUAAAGGGUAGACUUUCGCUCGGCAUGAUACCGCCGUUAUCGGGUCAAACCUAUAGUUGCGAAUGACAACUAUGCUCCGGUUGCCCAGGCCGCGUAACGCGGUUUGGAAUUCCGAACCUAAGUCCUUGCGGGUAGCACCGUAAGGCGGGGCCGGCAGGCGCCUGGCAACAGAAGCCUGCCACU